UAGCUAGUUGGUGAGGUAACGGCCCACCAAGGCGACGAUUGGUAGCCGGACUGAGAGGUUGAACGGCCACAUUGGGACUGAGACACGGCCCAGACUCCUACGUGAGGCAGCAGUGGGGGAUAUUGCACAAUGAGGGAAACCCUGAUGCAGCGACGCCGCGUGGAGGAAGAAGGUUUUCGGAUUGUAAACUCCUGUCGUUAGGGACGAUAAUGACGGUACCUAACAAGAAAGCACCGGCUAACUACGUGCCAGCAGCCGCGGUAAAACGUAGGGUGCAAGCGUUGUCCGGAAUUACUGGGUGUAAAGGGAGCGCAGGCGGGAAGACAAGUUGGAAGUGAAAACCAUGGGCUCAACCCAUGAAUUGCUUUCAAAACUGUUUUUCUUGAGUAGUGCAGAGGUAGAUGGAAUUCCCGGUGUAGCGGUGGAAUGCGUAGAUAUCGGGAAGAACACCAGUGGCGAAGGCGGUCUACUGGGCACCAACUGACGCUGAGGCUCGAAAGCAUGGGUAGCAAACAGGAUUAGAUACCCUGGUAGUCCAUGCCGUAAACGAUGAUUACUAGGUGUUGGGGGAUUGACCCCCUCAGUGCCGCAGUUAACACAAUAAGUAAUCCACCUGGGGAGUACGACCGCAAGGUUGAAACUCAAAGGAAUUGACGGGGGCCCGCACAAGCAGUGGAGUAUGUGGUUUAAUUCGAAGCAACGCGAAGAACCUUACCAGGUCUUGACAUCCGAUGCAUAGCACAGAGAUGUGUGAAAUCCUUCGGGACAUCGAGACAGGUGUUGCAUGGUUGUCGUCAGCUCGUGUCGUGAGAUGUUGGGUUAAGUCCCGCAACGAGCGCAACCCUUAUUGCCAGUUACUACGUUAAGAGGACUCUGGCGAGACUGCCGUUGACAAAACGGAGGAAGGUGGGGAUGACGUCAAAUCAUCAUGCCCUUUAUGACCUGGGCUACACACGUACUACAAUGGCGUUAAACAAAGAGAAGCAAGACCGCGAGGUGGAGCAAAACUCAAAAACAACGUCUCAGUUCAGAUUGCAGGCUGCAACUCGCCUGCAUGAAGUCGGAAUUGCUAGUAAUCGCGGAUCAGCAUGCCGCGGUGAAUACGUUCCCGGGCCUUGUACACACCGCCCGUCACACCAUGAGAGCCGGGGGGACCCGAAGUCGAUAGUCUAACCGCAAGGAGGACGUCGCCGAAGGUAAAACUGGUGAUUGGGGUGAAGUCGAAACAAGGUAGCCGUA
rnacentral:rRNA from 1 species